GUUUUUAAACAUUAAAUUGCAAAUUUAAAUUAAGAAAUAACU
rnacentral:tRNA from 1 species